AACGAACGCUGGCGGCAGGCCUAAUACAUGCAAGCCGAACGGAUGUAGCAAUACAUUAGUGGCGCACGGGUGCCUAACGCGUGGGAACAUACCCUUGAGUAAGGAAUAAUGUCUGGAAACGGACACUAAUACCUUAUAAUGACUUCGGUCCAAAGAUUCAUCGCUCAAGGAUUGGCCCGCGUCUGAUUAGCUAGUUGGUGAGGUGACGGCUCACCAAGGCGACGAUCAGUAGCUGGUCUGAGAGGAUGAUCAGCCACACUGGGACUGAGACACGGCCCAGACUCCUACGGGAGGCAGCAGUAAGGAAUAUUGGACAAUGGGGGAAACCCUGAUCCAGCCAUGCCGCGUGAGUGAAGAAGGCCUUAGGGUUGUAAAGCUCUUUCAAUAGUGAAGAUAAUGACGGUAGCUAUAGAAGAAGCCCCGGCUAAAUUCGUGCCAGCCGCCGCAGUAA
rnacentral:rRNA from 1 species